UCGAAUUGCUCUGGCUAGGACUUCAAG
rnacentral:piRNA from 1 species